rnacentral:piRNA from 1 species
UGCCAUUUCCACAGCGGCUGCCAUACCCUG